rnacentral:lncRNA from 1 species
AAGGAAACCAAUGAUGCGCCGGUAAAUAUGAUCAACCGUGAAUUAUCCAUGAGCUGCUUUACACAAGCCUUACGCGUUAAUAUUACCGCCAUGACGCCAUCUUGCAUGUUUGUGCCGGAAGUGCAGCACGGGACGCGGCGGACGCAGUGAAUUGGAGGCUGGAGCGACUGCUGGACGGUGCCAUGGAGGCCACUUUCUCAGAGAGGCGACACCUCAUCGUCAAGAGGAAAAUCCCGAUGGCCACCAUCCGUCGUCAAUGAAAACAAAGUCUGGAAAGAGCUGAGUCGGAUAAAAAAUGCCGACUUGCAGGACACCAACGAGUUGGAACUCUCCCGGGAAGCCAUGACCCCGAUUGUGGCCAAUGGCGAAGGUGAAAGAGCAGCUGGAUGCCUCACAGAUGACGAUGCGAUCGACCAUCUUCUCUGCACCGUGCUAAAGAGCACCAAGUUGUGUUCACAUCGGCGCCGCAGCCACGGCCUCAUGUGGCGGACGACUUCCACGCCAUAGAGGGCGUGCCAGCAGUGCAGUUUAAGGAGCUAACGGCAAAGGUGAACAAGCUGCUGACGUGGGGGGCCGCGUUCACAGUGUUUGCGCAGUCGUUCAACCGCCCAGCCAUCCGUCUGGCCGGCUACCUGAUGUGUGCCGUGAUCCUGAAGACCGAUGUGUCGCCGCCCCCAAAGCAGUGGGCGGCGAUGACCGGCUGCGUUUAGGAGUGCACGGGGAGGGACAUGAGGCAGCACUUUAGGGACUUUCUGUCUCUUUUUGUGUUUGCAUGUUUCUGCCGGGUAUAGUUUUGCAAAGAAAUGGCGUUAACGCCUUUUCAUGCGUGUAGGCCAAGUUCAUGUCUGGAAGGGCAUGAGCGUCGUGCU